UACGUAGGGCGCAAGCGUUAUCCGGAAUUAUUGGGCGUAAAGAGCUCGUAGGCGGUUUGUCGCGUCUGCCGUGAAAGUCCGGGGCUCAACCCCGGGCCUGCAGUGGGUACGGGCAGACUAGAGUGCGGUAGGGGAGACUGGAAUUCCUGGUGUAGCGGUGAAAUGCGUAGAUAUCGAGAGGAACACCUGCGGCGAAGGCGGGUAGCUGGGCCGACACUGACGCUGAUGCGCGAAGGCCAGGGGAGCGAACGGG
rnacentral:rRNA from 1 species